rnacentral:misc_RNA from 1 species
AAGUCGUAACAAGGUUUCCGUAGGUGAACCUGCGGAAGGAUCAUUAUCGAGUUUUUGAAAUGGGUUGUCGCUGGUCUCUUAUGAGGCAUGUGCACGCUCAGCUCAUCCACUCCUAAACCCUAUGUGCACCUAUGUAGAGUUUGGUGAAUGUCGGUCGAAUGGCUGAUAGGAUCCUUCUCUAUGUCUUUUAUAUAAACGCUUUAGUUAUAGAAUGUUACCUUGCAUAUUAAUGCAUUAUUAGUAUAACUUUCAGCAACGGAUCUCUUGGCUCUC